rnacentral:rRNA from 1 species
UACGGGGGGGGCAAGCGUUGUUCGGAAUUACUGGGCGUAAAGGGCUCGUAGGUGGCCAACUAAGUCAGACGUGAAAUCCCUCGGCUUAACCGGGGAACUGCGUCUGAUACUGGAUGGCUUGAGUUUGGGAGAGGGACGCGGAAUUCCAGGUGUAGCGGUGAAAUGCGUAGAUAUCAGGAAGAACACCAAUGGCGAAGGCAGCUCUCUGGGACGGUACUGACGCUGAGACGCGAAAGCGUGGGGAGCGAACAGG